ACGGCAGCACAGUAAGAGCUUGCUCUUAUGGGUGGCGAGUGGCGGACGGGUGAGGAAUACAUCGGAAUCUACCUUUUCGUGGGGGAUAAUGUAGGGAAACUUACGCUAAUACCGCAUACGACCUUCGGGUGAAAGCAGGGGACCUUCGGGCCUUGCGCGGAUAGAUGAGCCGAUGUCGGAUUAGCUAGUUGGCGGGGUAAAGGCCCACCAAGGCGACGAUCCGUAGCUGGUCUGAGAGGAUGAUCAGCCACACUGGAACUGAGACACGGUCCAGACUCCUACGGGAGGCAGCAGUGGGGAAUAUUGGACAAUGGGCGCAAGCCUGAUCCAGCCAUACCGCGUGGGUGAAGAAGGCCUUCGGGUUGUAAAGCCCUUUUGUUGGGAAAGAAAAGCAGUCGGCUAAUACCCGGUUGUUCUGACGGUACCCAAAGAAUAAGCACCGGCUAACUUCGUGCCAGCAUUCCCCCCCAAUACGAAGGGUGCAAGCGUUACUCGGAAUUACUGGGCGUAAAGCGUGCGUAGGUGGUUGUUUAAGUCUGUUGUGAAAGCCCUGGGCUCAACCUGGGAAUUGCAGUGGAUACUGGGCGACUAGAGUGUGGUAGAGGGUAGUGGAAUUCCCGGUGUAGCAGUGAAAAUGCGUAGAGAUCGGGAGGAACAUCCAUGGCGAAGGCAGCUACCUGGACCAACACUGACACUGAGGCACGAAAGCGUGGGGAGCAA
rnacentral:rRNA from 1 species